AUGUCACUCUCCUGUCUGUCCCUACCCUUUUUGAGGCGGGCGCGGCUUCCGGGUCUCUGGGCUUCCGGGCUCCCUGAGCGCGCACGUUGCAGAGUCUCCGCCGCGCCUAUCUGUCAGCUCCCGCACGUUGGCCGGAGUCUCGGGGACCUAGGCCCAUGUGGAAGCUGGUCCCCGCCGCGGGCCCUGCCCGAGAGUCAAACAGAUGAAAUUCCUGUACUGACAGUAAAAGAUAAUUCUAAGUAUGGUACCUUUGUUAAUGAGGAGAAAAUGCAGAAUGGUCUUUCUCAAAUUUUGAAGUCCGGGGAUAGAGUUACCUUUGGAGUGUUUGAAAGUAAAUUCAGAGUAGAGUAUGAACCUUUGGUUGCAUGCUCUUCUUGUUUAGAUGUUUCCGGGAAAACUGCUUUAAGUCAUGCCAUAUUGCAACUCGGAGGACUUACGGUAAACAGUUGGACAGAGAGAUGUACUCAUCUUGUCAUGGUAUCAGUUAAAGUUACCAUUAAAACAAUAUGUGCACUCAUUUGUGGGCGUCCGAUUGUAAAACCAGAAUAUUUUACUGAAUUUCUUAAAGCAGUUCAGUCCAAGAAACAACCUCCAGAAAUUGAAAGUUUUUACCCACCUGUUGAUGAACCAGCUAUUGAAAGUAAAAAUAUUGAUCUAUCAGGACGCCAGGAAAGAAAACAAAUCUUCAAAGGGAAAACAUUUGUCUUUCUAAAUGCCAAGCAGCAUAAAAAAUUAAGUGCAGCAGUUAUAUUUGGAGGAGGAGAUGCUAGGUUGAUAACAGAAGAAAAUAAAGAAGAUGAUAGUUUCUUUUCAGCUCCUGGAACUUGUGUUGUUGAUACAGGACUAACAGAUUCACAGACUUUAGUUCCUGACUCUCAGAAAAAAUGGAUUCAUUCAAUUAUGGAUAUACUCCAAAGGCAGGGUCUUAGACCUAUUCCAGAAGCAGAAAUUGGAUUAGCAGUUAUUUUUGUUACUACAGAGAAUUACUGUGAUCCACAGGGCCAGCCCAGUACAGGACUGAAGACCACAACUCCAGGUCCAAGCCUUUCCCAAGCCUUACCAGCCAAUAAAAAUUUAAUGCCAGAUGCCUCAGUGAAUGCUACAGCAUAUGUAGCUGACACAGAAUCAGAACAAGCAGAUACAUGUAUGGAUGUGAGUGAAAGACCAAAAGAAAUCAAAAUAUUUGGAAUGGAACCAAAAUGUCGAAUACUUUCACAAGAAACGUCCACUGUGAAGAAACCCCACAAAAUAAGCUCUAAUAGUAAUAUAGUGUCAAAUACUCUGGUUAGGAUGAAAAUCCCAAACUAUCAGCUUUCACCGACUAAAUUCCCACAUGUAAAUAAAAGUAGAGGUUGGCCUUCUCAGCAUCAGCAAACCAACUCCAUCAAAGACUAUUUUCAGCCACUUAACUCUCCCAAAAAAAGGGAAAGGGAUGAAGAAAAUCAAGAAAUGUCUUUAUCCAAAUCAGCAAGAAUGGAGAUAUCUUGUUCUCUUUUAGAACAAACACAACCAACUACAUCCUCAAUAAGGAAAAUUAAGGAUGAGCACCUAUCUCAGAAUGUGCUUGUGGGAAAAAACCCAGAUAAUUCAUAUGCAGAUACCAAUUUAAAACCUACUGUGAAAAAUUAUGCCAAUAAGUCUCUUUUUACAGAAAAACUAAAAUCAGAAAAAAGAAAAGAAAUUGAUGAUUUAGCCAUAGAAGAGGAAGUAUUGGAACAGUUAUUCAAGGAUACAGAAUUAGAGUUAGAAAGCGAAGUGAAAGUUCAAAAACAAGAGGAAGAUACCAAUGUUAGAAAAAGGCCACGAUUGGAUAUAGAAACAAAUGCCACUUUUAAUGAUGAAACAAUACCAGAAAGUAACAAGAUAUCUCAAGAAAAUGAAAUUGAGAAGAAGUGUGAGCUCAAGAAAGAAUCACUCUGGUCAACUAAAGAACUAUCUAACAAUGGUGAACCUCAGGAUGGUGAUGAGAUGCUUCCAAAGAAAGUGUUACUGACUGAAUUUCGAUCCCUUGUGGUUUGUAAUUCCACCUCCAGAAAUGCAUCCAGUGUGAAUAAUGAUUAUGGUGAACUAAAGAAUUUCAAGAAAUUCAAAAAGGUCACAUUUCCUGGAGCAGGAAAACUUCCACACAUCAUUGGAGGAUCAGAUCUAAUAGCUCAUCAUGCUCGAAAGAAUACAGAAUUAGAAGAGUGGUUGAGGCAGGAAAUGGAGGUUCAAAAUCAGCAUGCCAAAGAAGACUCUCUUGCUGAUGACCUCUUUAGAUACAAUCCUAAUGUUAAAAGGAGAAGAUAACAAGGUUUUAUGAAGAAGCCACAGAAAAACAUUUCCUGUUUAGUAUUUACUUCACGUUUCCUCUGCAAUACAUUCAUAUCAUGUAUAGAAGAUUUAAGUUU
rnacentral:lncRNA from 1 species